CUGGAGUCCACGAACACGGGGAGGUGCAGGUACGGUGGCGGAAGAGUCGGUGUUUCUCUCCGGUAAACCUUUCUCAUCACCUGGGUUGUUCGGUUUACUGCUCCACCAUUAGUGGAGGACCACAACGGCAGCAUGAGAAACAGUGGAAGCUCUGCUGGACAGACAGACCUGCCCGGGUGGACACUUCAUAGGGUAUCUGAUACAGUCCAGAGGUGAGAUGGCCGGGAACACACAGAACCACUCAUCUUUCUUCAUCUUGAAGGCAAGAAACCUGUUAAAGUCGGUCAGUUUCAGCUUUAUCUAGGCUUUCUCGGCUUCCUCAGCCAGUCCCAGCUGCAGAGAUCUGAAGCUCUACUGAACACAAGAUAAGGGGAGUUGGCUUCUGCACGCCCCCUGCUGGAGAAAAGAAGGCAUGGCUCUCUUGUCGACCUGCUGCCGCCUCAUGCGGAUGACAGCUGCGUCCACCUGAGCUGCUGCUCUCUUGCCGUGCUGGUCAUCCAGCAGCUGCAGACAGGCACGCUGCAGCCUCGCCAGCUCACCUUCAGAGGACAUUAGACAUUGCCUCAGCACUGCGCUGCCCUGAAAGACACACAGGAAACCCACUUUGCUGAUUUGGUUGGGUUGAGACACUCAGCAGGUGACGAGAGGGGAGGUUAGUGUUAAACCACUGAAUGCUUUUUUAAUAUGUGGUGUGAACAUCUGCUAUCUCCUGGGUUGUCGUUGUUUUCACAUAUGAGCAGAUCUUCUAUGCAUCUUAUAUAUUAUUAUAAAGCAUCUUUUUGUAGAUCUACCUUUCUAAGUUUAAAAGAAACACUUACGCCUGUAUCUUUAAACUCUAUUCUCCACCUUGUUUGUUUGCCGUUAUUCCCUAUAUUUAAGUCAUCGUAUGUUUUUGUGUCUCCUCUUCCCUCUGCUGCACAGUUUUGGUUUGGUUUUUACAUUUGUCAUGCAGACUGUGGUCUGAGAUGUGCAAGUGUAAGCUAACAUAAUAUUUCCUUAUUCCUCAGAAAGGUUUGUUUUUUAACCAUGCAUAUAUUUAGCAUUGUUUUCAACAUUUGGUAUCACUUUCUAAUGAGACAUACUUUUAUGAUCCAGUGUGUAGCGUUUAGGUGGGCCUUAUCUGCAUAUAUGGAAUAAAAUGUGCAUAACAAUCUUUUAA